rnacentral:rRNA from 1 species
GACAGAGGCCUCAAGCGUUAGGCGGAAUCACUGGGCUUAAAGCGUGUGUAGGCGGGUCGUUAAGUGUCUUGUGAAAUCCCACCGCUCAACGGUGGAACCGCUGGGCAUACUGGCGAUCUUGAGCAGUCCAGGGGCGAGCGGAACAAGUGGUGGAGCGGUGAAAUGCGUAGAUAUCACUUGGAACGCCAAUGGUGAAAACAGCUCGCUGGGAAUGAUCUGACACUGAGACGCGAAAGCCAGGGGAGCGAACGGG